GACGAGGGGUGCGAACGUUAUUCGGAAUGAUUGGGCGUAAAGGGUGCGCAGGCGGUAUGUUAAGUCAACUGUUAAAUUCCCCAGCUUAACUGGGGGCAUGCGGUAGAAACUGGCAUACUAGAGGAUGGAAGAGAGAAGUGGAAUUCUCGGAGUAGCGGUAAAAUGCGUAGAUCUCGAGAGGAACACCGAUGGCGAAGGCAGCUUCUUGGUCCAUUUCUGACGCUCAUGCACGAAAGCGUGGGGAGCAAACAGG
rnacentral:rRNA from 1 species